UCUCAUUAAACACUUGUCUACUCAUGAUUUAUGGACUGUCGGUGGUUGUGGUGCACACGUAAAUGGUGGUAUUAAUGACGUCCCUAUUGUUUGGUGUAUUAGGAUUUGUUUUGCAGUGUAUCUCGUGUUUUGGGUUCGACUAAUUAUGUAUCGCUCGAUUACAACUUGUCAUGAUGUUGUUGCAUGCACACAAACGUUUGGAGAUGUAUUAUUGAUAGGCCAGCAGUCUACCCGCAUGAAAAAGCAACGCGCACUAGCUGAUACAUGCAUUACGGAGCACAGAAAGAAAAAGAAAUACAUAUGAAAACUACUGCAGUGCCUUUGCAGAGCGGCUAAGCUUCAGAGUUUGUGCAUGAAGAUCAUGGCCAUGGCUCGCAGGUUCAGGAGCCCCAUGAUAAAAAUGUUCUUCAAAAUGCUUGAUUCUGUUCGAGAAGAGAUACGUGGCGAUGGACCGAUGCAUGCGAAAUCAGAUGUCGGGCACGCUGAAGUAUUAUAUGUACUUGUUUGCCCACUUCCAGAAUCUGCAUCCUCCAUGCUGCAACGAAAGAAAAAGAGAUUAGUCUGGAAUGAAGAACAUGGAUGGAAAGGAACUUCAAAAACGUACUCAAUGUCGUAGCCCGCGUUGCAUUCAGGGAAACGUAUGAGGGAGAGGGGGAAACUGGUUGGUGGUGUGGUGCGAUGCAGGUGGUGUGGAACUGCGCUGGGACUGGGAGCCACGGACAUGGAUGAACACAUGCUUGUCAGCUGAGGCAAAGGAUCAGAGGAAUGCAGAAGGAGAACGGCGAAAAAAUAUGCACAAAUUAUUCAUACUAUUUGCACCAUUUGCAUAACUAUUUUGCCUACCUACUGAUUCCUUCAUUUCCAUAAGCUAGCAAAGUGUUCUGGACAGAUCACACAUAUCCAUGCUAAUCACCAACCUCACGUAAUAUAAAAACAACCCAGCCACCUCUAAUCCAUAGGGGAAAGGGAGGUUAGUGACAUAUCUGAAGUUCUGAACCUACAUACAAAAGGGAGAGGGGAGAUAAUGGCAAAAGGAUGCAUCGGUGCUAGCUAUGCCCAGUUGGAGACGAGUCCCUCUUUCCCGGCCAUGACCAGAGGAGGCUGCCGCUUCACCCAUCCGCAUCAGAGAACAAGCACGACCAACGUAGCGCGAGUGGCAGAGAGAUGGGGAUGGGAGGGAGGAGAGAGGGAUGGGGACAGAUGGGAGAGGGAGGGGAGGAGAGUUCUACCUCCUCAACAGCGAGGAUGCCCGCCGGCGAUGUAGACAGUGGCGACGGGGCUGCGAGAUCCGAUGUCGCAGGAGAGAGAGGGGAGCGAGGAGAGCGGCGUGACCUAUUCCCUCGCGGGUUUCCGCGUGGUGCAGCGAUCCGUCAGGUGCACAAAGAGGUCUCGUUUAAAUGCACGAGCCUGUCUUGUGGGCCAUCCGCUGGACAUACGGGAGCUAUA
rnacentral:lncRNA from 1 species